rnacentral:rRNA from 1 species
AUUGAACGCUGGCGGCAUGCCUUACACAUGCAAGUCGAACGGUAACGGGCCUUCGGGUGCCGACGAGUGGCGAACGGGUGAGUAAUACAUCGGAACGUGCCCGAUCGUGGGGGAUAACGAGGCGAAAGCUUUGCUAAUACCGCAUACGAUCUACGGAUGAAAGCAGGGGACCGCAAGGCCUUGCGCGGACGGAGCGGCCGAUGGCAGAUUAGGUAGUGGGUGGGAUAAAAGCUUACCAAGCCGACGAUCUGUAGCUGGUCUGAGAGGAUGAUCAGCCACACUGGGACUGAGACACGGCCCAGACUCCUACGGGAGGCAGCAGUGGGGAAUUUUGGACAAUGGGCGCAAGCCUGAUCCAGCCAUGCCGCGUGCAGGAUGAAGGCCUUCGGGUUGUAAACUGCUUUUGUACGGAACGAAAAGCCUUCUUUUAAUACAGGAGGGUCAUGACGGUACCGUAAGAAUAAGCACCGGCUAACUACGUG